CCCUACGGGGGGCAGCAGUGAGGAAUAUUGGUCAAUGGGCGGAAGCCUGAACCAGCCAAGUCGCGUGAGGGAUUAAGGCCCUAUGGGUCGUAAACCUCUUUUGUCAGGGAGCAAGGCCUCUCACGUGUGGGAGGUUGGAGAGUACCUGAAGAAAAAGCAUCGGCUAACUCCGUGCCAGCAGCCGCGGUAAUACGGAGGAUGCGAGCGUUAUCCGGAUUUAUUGGGUUUAAAGGGUGCGCAGGCGGAAGAUCAAGUCAGCGGUAAAAUUGAGAGGCUCAACCUCUUCGAGCCGUUGAAACUGGUUU
rnacentral:rRNA from 1 species